GGAAUAUUGGACAAUGGGCGCAAGCCUGAUCCAGCCAUGCCGCGUGGAUGAUGAAGGCCCUAGGGUUGUAAAGUCCUUUCGGCGGGGAAGAUAAUGACGGUACCCGCAGAAGAAGCCCCGGCUAACUUCGUGCCAGCCGCCGCGGUAAUACGAAGGGGGCUAGCGUUGCUCGGAAUCACUGGGCGUAAAGCGCACGUAGGUGGGUUUCUAAGUCAGGGGUGAAAUCCUGGAGCUCAACUCCAGAACUGCCUUUGAUACUGGGAAUCUUCGAGUCCGGGAGAGGUGGGUGGAACUGCGAGUGUAGAGGUGAAAUUCGUAGAUAUUCGCAAGAACACCAGUGGCGAAGGCGGCUCACUGGCCCGGUACUGACACUGAGGUGCGAAAGCGUGGGGAGCAAAC
rnacentral:rRNA from 1 species